CCGGCUUAACACAUGCAAGUCGAGGGGCAGCAUGGUCUUAGCUUGCUAAGGCCGAUGGCGACCGGCGCACGGGUGAGUAACACGUAUCCAACCUGCCGUCUACUCUUGGACAGCCUUCUGAAAGGAAGAUUAAUACAAGAUGGCAUCAUGAGUCCGCAUGUUCACAUGAUUAAAGGUAUUCCGGUAGACGAUGGGGAUGCGUUCCAUUAGAUAGUAGGCGGGGUAACGGCCCACCUAGUCUUCGAUGGAUAGGGGUUCUGAGAGGAAGGUCCCCCACAUUGGAACUGAGACACGGUCCAAACUCCUACGGGAGGCAGCAGUGAGGAAUAUUGGUCAAUGGGCGAGAGCCUGAACCAGCCAAGUAGCGUGAAGGAUGACUGCCCUAUGGGUUGUAAACUUCUUUUAUAAAGGAAUAAAGUCGGGUAUGCAUACCCGUUUGCAUGUACUUUAUGAAUAAGGAUCGGCUAACUCCGUGCCAGCAGCCGCGGUAAUACGGAGGAUCCGAGCGUUAUCCGGAUUUAUUGGGUUUAAAGGGAGCGUAGAUGGAUGUUUAAGUCAGUUGUGAAAGUUUGCGGCUCAACCGUAAAAUUGCAGUUGAUACUGGAUAUCUUGAGUGCAGUUGAGGCAGGCGGAAUUCGUGGUGUAGCGGUGAAAUGCUUAGAUAUCACGAAGAACUCCGAUUGCGAAGGCAGCCUGCUAAGCUGCAACUGACAUUGAGGCUCGAAAGUGUGGGUAUCAAACAGGAUUAGAUACCCUGGUAGUCCACACGGUAAACGAUGAAUACUCGCUGUUUGCGAUAUACAGCAAGCGGCCAAGCGAAAGCGUUAAGUAUUCCACCUGGGGAGUACGCCGGCAACGGUGAAACUCAAAGGAAUUGACGGGGGCCCGCACAAGCGGAGGAACAUGUGGUUUAAUUCGAUGAUACGCGAGGAACCUUACCCGGGCUUAAAUUGCAGAUGAAUUACGGUGAAAGCCGUAAGCCGCAAGGCAUCUGUGAAGGUGCUGCAUGGUUGUCGUCAGCUCGUGCCGUGAGGUGUCGGCUUAAGUGCCAUAACGAGCGCAACCCUUGUUGUCAGUUACUAACAGGUUCCGCUGAGGACUCUGACAAGACUGCCAUCGUAAGAUGUGAGGAAGGUGGGGAUGACGUCAAAUCAGCACGGCCCUUACGUCCGGGGCUACACACGUGUUACAAUGGGGGGGUACAGAGGGCCGCUACCACGCGAGUGGAUGCCAAUCCCAAAAACCUCUCUCAGUUCGGACUGGAGUCUGCAACCCGACUCCACGAAGCUGGAUUCGCUAGUAAUCGCGCAUCAGCCACGGCGCGGUGAAUACGUUCCCGGGCCUUGUACACACCGCCCGUCAAGCCAUGGGAGCCGGGGGUACCUGAAGUGCGUAACCGCGAGGAGCGCCCUAGGGUAAAACUGGUGACUGGG
rnacentral:rRNA from 1 species